rnacentral:rRNA from 1 species
AGACGGAGGGUGCAAACGUUGCUCGGAAUCACUGGGCAUAAAGCGCACGUAGGCGGCAUUCUAAGUCAGAUGUGAAAUCCCUCGGCUCAACCGAGGAACUGCAUCUGAUACUGGAAUGCUCGAGGACGGUAGGGGUGAGUGGAACUCCAGGUGGAGCGGUGAAAUGCGUAGAUAUCUGGAGGAACACCAGUGGCGAAAGCGGCUCACUGGACCGUCUCUGACGCUGAGGUGCGAAAGCCAGGGUAGCGAACGGGAUUAGAAACCCCAGUAGUCC